AAAUUACAUGGAUAACCGUAGUAAUUCUAGGGCUAAUACAUGCUGCAAAACCUGACUUUUUGAAAGGUUGUAUUUAUUAGAUAGCAAACCAGCAGCCGCAAGGCUAGUUGUGAUGAUUCAUAAUAACUGAUCGGAGCGAGGCUAGUCCUCGCUAAAUCAUUCAAGUUUCUGCCCUAUCACUUUGAUGGUAGUGUAUUGGACUACCAUGAGGAUCACGGGUACGAGGAAUUAGGGUUUGAUAUCGGAGAGGGAGCCUGAGAAACGGCUACCACUUCUAAGGAAGGCAGCAGGCGCGUAAAUUACCCAAUCCUGAUUCAGGGAGGUAGUGACAAGAAAUAUUAACUCGGGGGUUUUAUGCCUUACGAGAUUAAAAUGAGAACAAUCUAAAAAUCUUAACGAGGAACAAUAAGAGGACAAGUCUGGUGCCAGCACCCGCGGUAAUUCCAGCUCUUAUAGUGUAUAUUAAUGUCGUUGCAUUUAAAAAGCUCGUAGUCGAUCAUCUAGCAGUCGACCAAGCUGUUUACUCGGAUUGGUUCGGCUGUUAUCAGCUCGAAAACACGGCUCGUCCUUAAUCAGUCGACUGUGCAGAUCGGGCACUUUCCUGAGAAAAAAUUAGAGUGUUCAAGCAGGCCAAUGCCUUGAAUAUUACAGCUUGGAAUAAUGGAAUAAGACUAAAAUCUUUUUUGUUGGUUAUGAGGUUUUAGUAAUGGUUAAUAGAAACAGUCGUGGGAAGUCGUAUUUAAUUGUCAGAGGUGAAAUUCUUGGAUUUAUUAAAGACGAACAUACGCGAAAGCAUCUUCCAAGGAUGUUUUCAAUUGAUCAAGAACGAAAGUUAGGGGAUCAAAGACGAUCAGAUACCGUCCUAGUCUUAACUAUAAACGAUUCCGACUUUGAAUCGGAAGGGUUCUCGAGCCCUUUCGGCACAUUAUGAGAAAUCAAAGUUUUUGGGUUAUGGGGGAAGUAUGGACACAAGUCUGAAACUUAAAGGAAUUGACGGAAGGGCACACCAGAAGUGGAGCCUGCGGCUUAAUUUGACCCAACACGGGAAAACUUACAAGGGCAAGACAUGGUUGGGAUUGACAGAAUGAGAGCUCUUUCUUGAUUCCAUGGGUGGCGGUGCAUGGCCGUUCUUAGUUGGUGGAGUGAUUUGUCUGGUUAAUUCCGUUAACGAACGAGACCUUAACCUGCUAACCUAGGAGCUGGAUCAUCCAUCCAGUUUCCUUCUUAGAGGGACUAAGUGUUCAAGCACUGGGAAGUUUGAGGCAAUAACAGGUCUGUGAUGCCCCUAGACGUCCUUGGCCGCACGCGCGCUACAAUGACACGUUCAACAAGCUUUACGCUGGUCCUGGCGGAUCUCGGCUAAUCUUUAUAGUACGAUGUCGUGCUUUGGGAUCGUCCUUUGCAAUUAUAGGACUUGAACUAGGAAUUUCUAGUAUAGGUGAGUCAUCAGCUC
rnacentral:rRNA from 1 species